GUCUAUGACGGAUCGGUCAAACACACGGCGGCCGAGCUCAGUUCGACGAGCCUACGAAACGACGAUACCAGUGGUUGGACGACUGCAGGGAGACCAGAACCGUUACCUCCUCUGACGACACCCAACGUUUAGCACCCGAACAACCCAGAUCUGCAUGAGUUUCAUGACGUUUUCUUCGUUCCUAUGAGUUUCAACAUUGUCCCACACAAAAAUGAAGAGCCAUUUGUGAUACCCACUCUUGUUCGAAGGCAAAUGUGUGAUACCCGCCCUCGUCGACAUUUGUUUGGCACUGACCCAUGCUCGAACCAAGGUCGAUUCGAGUUACCCAUUGCUUUUAGACAUCGAAACAGCAAGCUUAAGGCCUUUUGAACUCAGAUUUGGGAGCCCGAACCCCCUCGACGUCGACCCACCCCUAACCCAAGAGGUCUUAGUGUGAGUAGUAGGAAAUCCUUCGGCAAGCUUAAUAACGUGUCAGGGCACUUGAUUUGCAGGUAUCGAGCUAGCUCUUGGGAU